UAACCUGCCUUGGAGUGGGGAAUAACAGCUGGAAACAGCUGCUAAUACCGCAUAAUGCAGUUGGGUCGCAUGGCUCUGACUGCCAAAGAUUUAUCGCUCUGAGAUGGACUCGCGUCUGAUUAGCUAGUUGGCGGGGUAACGGCCCACCAAGGCGACGAUCAGUAGCCGGACUGAGAGGUUGGCCGGCCACAUUGGGACUGAGACACGGCCCAGACUCCUACGGAAGGCAGCAG
rnacentral:rRNA from 1 species